GCCGAGGUGGCGGAAUUGGUAGACGCGCAUGGCUCAGGACCAUGUGGGUUAAUAGCCCGUGGGGGUUCGAGUCCCCCCCUCGGCACUA
rnacentral:tRNA from 1 species